GGUACUUGUAUGAUGGAUGGAAGACCUCUUCUUGCCCCGCUUGGAUGAAGACUUCUGCCGGUCUGGAUGUCCUCUUCUGCCCCAUCGGAUGAAGACUUCGGCCCGGCUGGGUGAACACGACUCAAGGCCGGUGCCAAAUUCAAGAUCAUAGAACAGAUACAGAUGGACAUCAGCUUAUAUUUUUGUUGUUCUGUCAACAUUAUUGUGCGUCUGCAUUAUACUUGUACCCUAGGCCUAUACUAUAAGUUAUUCUCUGGUUUAUUACAAUGUCUUAUUUAAAAUGUUUUAAUACCUGAAAAAUUUGAAGCCUAAUAAAAGUUUAAAUUACUUUUGUAAGAGUCAA